rnacentral:misc_RNA from 1 species
UCUCCGUAGGUGAACCUGCGGAGGGAUCAUUACCAGAAGACGCUCUGGCGGAAACGCCGGGGCCUUCGUCCAACCCUUUGUGAACACAACUUGUUGCUUCGGGGGCGACCCUGCCGUUUCGAUGGCGAGCGCCCCCGGAGGCCUUCAAACACUGCAUCUUUGCGUCGGAGUUUAAGUAAAUUAAACAAAACUUUCAACAACGGAUCUCUUGGUUCUGGCAUCGAUGAAGAACGCAGC